rnacentral:snRNA from 1 species
GUGCUCACUUUGGCAGCACGUAUACUAAAAUUGGAAUGAUACAGAAGAAUAGUAUUGCCCCUUUGCAAGGAUGACAUGCAAAUUCAUGAAGCAUUAUAUAUAUAA